UUGUUUUCGCGACAAGCCAGCUCACUUGUACAACGCAGUCUUACUCUUAGUAGUGGUCUGAGGAAAAAGCAUGAGAAAUGCCCUGUUACCCAAGAUUUUGAGUGUUACUAUCAACCGAAGAGAAAAAACCCUAACCGAAAACAACAACAAGAUAUUGGGAGGUCAAGAGUAAAUAUCGGUAACAGUUUUGAAAGGUGGAGGGAGCUCCGGAGUCAACUCCAUCUUAGACGCGAUUCCGAAAUAUCAUCGUUUGUGCUGGACAGUUACCAGAAGGGACUAAGAGGUCCAUCCACAUCCACCCCUGCCAAAGAUUGGAGCAUUCUAAGUGCAUGCUCUGUCUAGCAUUGGCAUUGCUUCAAGCUCGACUGUGUCGGUCAGCCUAAACAUCGAUGCAAGCAAAAGAUGCCCAUGCAGAGUCCAGAGGAAAAGACACCUGAAGAGGGCCAGGAUGCUUGUCCCAGCACUCCUGUGACAGGAAAAGAUAGCUCACCUUUACAGAGUACCAGCAGUCUUAGAUCUAUUGGUUCAAUGUCUAAGGUUGCGCUUUUGGAGGAAAAGAUUAAGUGGCAGGAAAGAAUGAUUAAAUAACUGGACAGACGGAAUGCCAUUUCCUUAGGGAACAGCUGAAGGGGAAUGGGGAAGGAAAAAAGCCACCUGCUGCAGUAGACAACCUGCACACACUCCCAGAGGGUUGCAGGUCUGCCGACUUCCUUUUGGUCACACAUUUUAUUCUGAGAAAUAUCCAUUAAACCAAAGACAUUGCUUUAACUGUGACUGUAUUUUCCUCAAAUAAA